rnacentral:rRNA from 1 species
CACGUAGGCGGAUUGGCAAGUCAGGGGUGAAAUCCCGGGGCUCAACCUCGGAACUGCCUUUGAUACUGCCAGUCUAGAGUCCGGAAGAGGUGGGUGGAAUUCCUAGUGUAGAGGUGAAAUUCGCAGAUAUUAGGAAGAACACCGGUGGCGAAGGCGGCCCACUGGUCCGGAACUGACGCUGAGGUGCGAAAGCGUGGGGAGCAAACA